rnacentral:rRNA from 1 species
AACGAACGCUGGCGGCAUGCCUAACACAUGCAAGUCGAACGAGAUCCUUCGGGGUCUAGUGGCGCACGGGUGCGUAACGCGUGGGAAUCUGCCCUUAGGUUCGGAAUAACAGUUAGAAAUGACUGCUAAUACCGGAUGAUGACGUUAAGUCCAAAGAUUUAUCGCCUGAGGAUGAGCCCGCGUAGGAUUAGCUAGUUGGUGUGGUAAAGGCGCACCAAGGCGACGAUCCUUAGCUGGUCUGAGAGGAUGAUCAGCCACACUGGGACUGAGACACGGCCCAGACUCCUAGGGGAGGCAGCAGUGGGGAAUAUUGGACAGUGGGCGCAGGCCUGAUCCAGCAAUGCCGGGUGGGUGAUGAAGGCCUUAGGGUUGUAAAGCUCUUUUACCCGAGAUGAUAAGGACAGGAUCGGGAAAAAAAGCCCCGGCAAACUCCGU